GAUGAACGCUGGCGGCGUGCCCAAUACAUCCAAGUCGAGCGAACGGACGAGAAGCUUGCUUCUCUGAUGUUAGCGGCGGACGGGUGAGUAACACGUGGAUAACCUACCUAUAAGACUGGGAUAACUUCGGGAAACCGGAGCUAAUACCGGAUAAUAUUUUGAACCGCAUGGUUCAAAAGUGAAAGACGGUCUUGCUGUCACUUAUAGAUGGAUCCGCGCUGCAUUAGCUAGUUGGUAAGGUAACAGCUUACCAAGGCAACGAUGCAUAGCCGACCUGAGAGGGUGAUCGGCCACACUGGAACUGAGACACGGUCCAGACUCCUACGGGAGGCAGCAGUAGGGAAUCUUCCGCAAUGGGCGAAAGCCUGACGGAGCAACGCCGCGUGAGUGAUGAAGGUCUUCGGAUCGUAAAACUCUGUUAUUAGGGAAGAACAUAUGUGUAAGUAACUGUGCACAUCUUGACGGUACCUAAUCAGAAAGCCGCGGCUAGCUACGUG
rnacentral:rRNA from 1 species